rnacentral:rRNA from 1 species
GACGAACGCUGGCGGCGUGCUUAACACAUGCAAGUCGAACGGAAAGGCCCUGCUUUUGCGGGGUGCUCGAGUGGCGAACGGGUGAGUAACACGUGAGUAACCUGCCCUUGACUUUGGGAUAACUCCAGGAAACUGGGGCUAAUACCGGAUAGGAGCUCCUGCUGCAUGGUGGGGGUUGGAAAGUUUCGGCGGUUGGGGAUGGAAUCGCGGCUUAUCAGCUUGUUGGUGGGGUAGUGGCUUACCAAGGCUUUGACGGGUAGCCGGCCUGAGAGGGUGACCGGCCACAUUGGGACUGAGAUACGGCCCAGACUCCUACGGGAGGCAGCGGUGGGGAAUAUUGCACAAUAGGCGGAAGCCUGAUGCAGCAGCGCCGCGUGCGGGAUGACGGCCUUCGGGUUGUAAACCGCUUUCGCCUGUGACAAAGCGUGAGUGACGGUAAUGGGUAAAGAAGCACCGGCUAACUACGUG